UGCUAAUCCAAGAUGGCUGCCGAGCCGGAAAGUCUUGCCAAGCUCCAGACUCCUAACAUAAACAAAACCAAAUGCUGGACCAUCGACCUCAAAAGUUCUGCAUAGAAACAAAGUGAAUGAGGCAGCAGCAGCAGUACUGGCAGUGAGUCUGAAAAUGCUUGACCCAAUGCCUUCCUGCCCCAAGCGGUUCUGCUCUCAGUCUUUGGGAGUCCCAGCUGAUCUCUCUGGAGCUAAGAUGCCCCACUCACUCUCUUUUUAUCAAAAAUACACCUUUAUCUCUUUUUUACUCAUUCUCAUUCAAACACUCAAGCACCUACACCUUAACUGCAGGA